GUCCAGAUUUGUAUUCUUUCCAGGUCGGAUCGUAUCCUCAAUCUUGAAGCGACGUAGCUUGCGCCGCCACUUACCGCGCUCCGCCUUCGGUUCUCUCGGCCCUUUCUAAAGCCCUAAACGCUCGCCGCCUCAGUCGCAGUGUUCGCACGCCAUCUCUCUCCCGUUGCUCCGAAUGGCGUGGCGCGGAUCGAUCUCGAGAUCGAUGCUUGCUGCUGCGCGGUCCUCGUCCCCCCGAUCGCCGCCUCCGGUAGCCCGCCUCCGCCCUGCGCUUGUUUCCGGUCCCCGCGUCCAGCGCCACCGCCUCUCCUUCGGCCCUCCCAGAUCUCUUGGAGCAUUAGGAUGCGCGCAGUCCUUCCUUCCGUUUGACUGCGUGGUGGCCGCUCCGUGCCUCACCUCUCACUUGUCGGUCAGCGCGAGAGCGUGCUGUGAGCUCUCUCAGGGUACCUUCUGUCGCACUUGUCAAGAUCGCUAGGAAAAAUGGAAAAGAUGGUUGAUGAAGAGACGGGGCGUCGUUCAGUGGGAAGCACUGUUUAAGCUGAUGUACUUGAAGAAAUAAGGAUCAAUUGCAUCGAUGGUAAAUGGAUGAUUCUUGGUACGUGUAGAACAAGAACCUGCGUAAGGAUUGACUGGAAGAUUAGGAGAUACUGCAAGUGCUUUUUGAUUGUUUCACCAGUUUUGAGUUUUAUUUUCCAGGAGUUCAAGAAUAAGUGUCACUUGUGCUUCUGGUAAACAUCCUCUGGGAUUAUUAUGUCAUGUUCAUUCCACUCGGGUUUUCA